rnacentral:tRNA from 1 species
GCGGGUGUGGCGAAACUGGUAGACGCACCAGAUUUAGGUUCUGGCGCCGCGAGGCGUGGGGGUUCGAGUCCCUCCACCCGCACCA